GUGAUUAAGUAAUUGCUUUGAUAUACAAAAUAGAAAAAUCCAAAAGUCAGAAGGUGACCGUGUUCCUCACAGGUACGAGACUCUUGUUAACCCAUGAACCAAAAGAUCCAACCAGCAGGGUCCAGCUGGGGGACGUAGUAAGGGUUAAACCGAGGGAAUAGAGGAGACAAGGCUUUUGGCUGUGGACACAGGUUGGGAAUAGUGCAGGUGUAAUAGACACAGGAUGGAUAUCAAACUGGAAGCUGGGGUAUGGGGGGGCUGGAUAGGAUGGGAUAAGGGGAAGGAACACGCCACAAGCCUGAGAGGUCAGUAGUCUUUUAACUCCUCUACAAUUAGAUUUUUCUUUUUCGUUUUUUCUGUUUUCUUUAUAGAUAACCUUCUUGUCUUCUCAUAAUUAUUCCUGGCUUUUUUCCUUGCAGUCGAUUUCACCUUCUCUUUUCCCCAAUCUGUAAGUCACUGCUACUUGCCUAUUUAAAUUUUUUGUAUUUUCUUCCGUGUGUAUUUUUUAAGUCUUCUCCUUUUCCUGUCUCCUCUGUUUUUCCUCCGUUGACUAAAUAUCUCUUCCUCCUACCUCUUUUGCUACAUUUCCCAGAAUCUGGAUCUCUCUUCUAAGAUCACUUUUUCUCUGGUAGGUUUCAUACAUAUCGCUCUACCUCUGCCUGUUC